GAAUAUGUAACACAUUUUUCAUAGUUAUAAAGUUAUUAUUCUUAGUGCUGGGAUUACAGGCAUGAGCCACCACACCAGGCCCUUUUUUUUUUCUCUUUUGUUUUUUAAUCAGAUUACUGUUAGUUAUUUCCCCUCUUGCCUCACUUCAUGUCAGUUGAAAUGUUGGAAUACAGCAUCUGAAAGUGCUGUCCACUGCCUUUCAGCUGUGCUGCUGGCU
rnacentral:lncRNA from 1 species